GAUGAUGGGCCCUCUGGCUCACUGUAGGCCCCGACACGUCCGACCCCGGCCUCGGCCAUUUGGUACAGGAUUGCAUCAUCAGACUCUGCUCUUGAUCGAGCAUUUGAUGUUUUGGCAGCUCGAACAUUUCCCCGAGGCCGACCUGCUCCAGACGCAGAAAUGAUGUCCCUAGUUGUGAUAAAGCCUCAGUGAGGUUAAAGGACCUGAAUGGCUGAGUGGGACCUCCGGUAAAGAUACGGGACUCUUGUGAAAACCAUUGGGAGAGAACAAGACGUUAUCCGGGCAUGCACCACCGUUACAUUGAAUGUCAUCACACUUAUAGUUUGUAAGAUCAGCACAAAGAGGAUCAGGGGAGAAGAUUGUCAUCUGCUGUAUCAAUAUGGACGGGACUUUGUGCAUGACUGUGACUCCAGGUUCACACUUACGACCAAGAAUCCGACUCUGUUCCUUCCCCUGACCAGUUUAACAGCAGAGGACAGUGGGGACUACACAUUUGAGUGUUCACAUCUUCAUGGAACAGAUGGUUUUCAUCUCAGCACCACUGUGGAAGGAGAUGAAGAGUCCAACACUUCUAUUAUGACCAGGCUCAGUUCUGCCACCGUGAUUGGUCUCGUUGCCGCACCUAUCAUUGUAACUGGAGUCGUCCUUGGACUUAUCCUGAAAAAAUAAUCCUUGCAGAGACCAUACAAGGUCAGGACCAUCUGGAUAAUCUGUAUUUGAACCCCCCUGCUCUGUGGUGAGAAAUGUGCAGUAUUCUUUUGUUUCUGACCUUUCAGCUUGGUAAGUAGCCAAUUUAUUGUGUGCAGUUUCAUUUACAUUAAAGUUAUAGACAUCUGGCUGCCGUUCUGAUCCAAAGCAACACGAUAAACUUUGCAGCAGUAGACGCUUAUAUUCCAAAUGACUCAUCAGUUGACCAUCAGUUGAUUUAACAGAAAUGUGUGUGAGGAAAUCUCAUAAAGAGAAGAGAAUACGCUCGGUUGAAACUCUUUACACUUGCUUAGUAGCAGGUACUGAAGGACUCAUUUCAAUUCAGUCACCAAGUCUCAAUACUCUCAACACUGCGGACUUGCUUUGUUCUUUCGUUUUUCACACCAUUUACAGAAUGGUGUGAAAAAUAUUUUACACAUAGUACACGGUGUUAAAACUGCAGGGAGGCAGGUUCCAAUCAGCAGCAUUUGCUUUCUUGUUAGGCUGUCUUGAAUUUUGCAAAUCCCUGACUUGGGUUUGAAGAACGUCUCUUGUGUUUGGUUUCUUUUAAAGCAGCAAAGAGAAUCAAUGCUCUUCCAUUUGCUCUGCAAAUAGCCAGCUAGACUGCAAUUUCCUCUGUAAUCGUUUUGAGGUGCUUGGCCUGCCCUUACUAACGCUGACACUCAUUGGUGUUAACAGAGAGCACACAAGAUCAGGAGCAUCCGAAUGAAGGGGAUCUGAAACCCUGGCCUUUGGUAAGCACUACAUAGUUCUGUUUUAUACCUCUUCUCAAUGUUUGUAAUGACUGGACCAACAACAUGUCAACUAUUGUUUUAAACUACAUAUAAUUAUAUUCGAAGUGUGAUAUAAAAUGUUGAUUUGGUUUGUGGGACCUGGAUGAUCCCUACACAAGCCUUCAGCUGCCGGCCAGUGAUGUCUGCCAAGUCAUCUCCUCAAGUCGCCCUUAUCACGAUACCGAGGCAGCUCCAACUAACACUGAUGUAAUGAUCACCUGUGUUAAUAGUCAGGAGACGGAUGGAAAAGAGGGGGAUUCAGACUCAGGUUACACAGUGUAUGAAACAAUGUAAAACUAAGCAGGAGAUUUGUACAAUUUUGCACAAAAUGCAGAAAACAUACAUCUCUCUCUCUGCAGUUCAUGCAACGCUGUGUCCGUGUAAUAUUAUUGUAGUCUUUAGAUUCUGACUUGUAAAUAGUGCCAGUGUUAAAAACAUCCAAGUUGUGAUUACGACUCAAAGGGAAGCUCAAAGUAUGUUGUUUAAGGCGAUUAAACCCCAAAUUCAACAGAUGCGGUGUUACAUUGUCAGUGCACAAUAUUUUUAACACUCACCCUACCAUCAUACAACCACCUUGUCCUGUGAUGGGAAUAAACUUUGAGCUCUGUAUGUGAGUUAGUGUUUAGCUGACCAGCUGACACGUGCAAUACAACUCUUUUCCUCUUGAAUUUCACCAAGAUGGUGAAGGUCGCCAUAGAGUCGCCAGCAUAGGUGUUUCGGUUUGUUUUCAUGCCCUUUCUCACCUUUUCUGUGGUAACAUGAAUGCGCAUACCCUAAUGUCUCACACUUCCUCUUUGGAGCACCGCACACUAACUCAGACCUCUGUCAGAGCUGUGAAUCGGGGGUUUUGGCAAAAAACAGAGCACAAAGGGGUGUGUCUCUCUACUGAAGUACAGUCGACUCUCUCAGCAGCAGUUCCACUGUUGCAUAAAUGUCUUGACCAAUAUGGGCAGAUGGAAACUGUGCUUUGUUCUGCUUCUGCCGCUAAUUUUUUAUAUUACCAGCAAAGGUACAGUAGAGAAACUAUUAUUUAUGUUUGGCAAAUACAACACAUUGUUCUCUGUUAAUCCGUCAAAACCAAAGAAAGUGUCUAUUUCAUACUAUAUUGAUUGUGAUUUUAAUUCAUCGAUUGCAGAGACUCGAGUGGAACCUGUGAUAACCGCUGGGAGAGAACAAAAUCUGUUUCCAAUAUGUACCAAUGGGUCGGUGUAUAUCAUCACACUUAUAGUAUGUACAAUCAGAACAGAGAGAAAGUGGGAAAAAGGCUGUCGUCUGCUGUAUCGAUACGGACAGGGUUUUUUUCGCGAAUGUGACUCCAGAUUCGCACUUCUGAUGGAGAAUCAGACUAUGUUCCUCCACCUGACCGGUUUAACGCCAGAGGACAGUGGGAACUUCACCUGUGAGUGUUCACAUCUUGGCGGAACCUAUACUUACUAUAACAAUAUAACUGUGGAAGGUAAAUGAUUAAUUUAUUUUAUGACUUUUGUGUUUCAUACUGUAUUUCUCUGGUUAUUUUCCAGUGUGUGGUAACAUUAUAAGGAAUGUCAACGUCAGCAUGUCUGUACUUGUCGAAGAAAUCAAACCUGGGUGAAUAAAAGUGUUGAGUAAAUUAGCCAACAAAGCCUGGUAUCAAGUAAACUGACGAAUGACAGCAUUUGUACUAUGAGAAUAUACUUAAUACUAACAAUAUAAUAUGAAUGCAAUAUCAUGUUGUUCUAUUUAUUAUAUAUAUUAAAUUUUCAUUGUACUUUUUUCCACCAGAUAAACAAUUUUCUAAAUGGAAAUAGCAUUUUAGAGAAAUUUCCGUCAGGUUUCAGUGCUAAUCGUGGCACAGAGACUGCUCUCACAAAGAUAGUUAGUGAUCAGAGACUUAGUCCUGCUGCCAGCAAGCUUUCAGUUCUGGUUCUCUUAGAUUUAAGUACAGACCAUUGAAUUCCCCUGACUGAGCGAACUGAGUUGGCCUCUCAGACUGUGUUCUAAAGUGGCCCCGAACACACGUUGAAGGACGAAAAUUUUUUACGUUUGUCUUUGCGACCAUGUGUUACAGAAACGUGACAUAGCCUCUGGUGUUGCACAAGGGAGCUGCCGUGCCCCUCUGUUGACCUCACUAUAAACGCUUCCUCAAGGGAAUAUAAUGUUAGCUUCCAUAGCUACGCUGAUGAUACGCAAUUGUACAUAUGUCUUUUUUUAGGUGAUUAUGCCUCUAAAUUUCUUUUUUUGGUUUCUUUAAUUACCUUUUAUGCCUUUAAAUGUUUUUCUUUUAGUUGAUUAUGCCUUUAAAUGUCUUCUUAUCGAUCUCUCAAAUGCCUUGCUCUCACUGCGACGCCAAGCAAUUUUAUCUUUACCUGCUUGCUUUUAAUUUAUUGUUUCCAUGUUUUGUUUUGUUUUUAAUUUAUUUACUACUAUUAUGAUGUAACAUAGUACUGUGGACAACAGAGAGCAGCAUCUUAAUUUUGCUUUACAAAUAGAGUGAAUUCCAGUGCUGCUUUUCUGAUAGUUUUUUUCUGUACAAUGAUUAAGAGGAUGAAAACGCCCGCGGUUCUACACAAGUGCCUCUUCCCUAUGCUGUAACCGGUGCACUGAUAUUCAUCAUUAUAACUGGCGUCAUCCUGGGUUUUAUCUACAGAAAGAUUCACAAUGGAAGACAACCAGAACCCAUGGCCAGUCAACGAAACAUGGAACCAGGAGACAUUGAGCCGUACAGCAUCUUCUUGCAGAGAGAGAAUGUGCUUUAUUCAGUUGUCACAAUUCAAAGAAACACAUAAUACACUAAAAAUGGAUGCUAAUAAUUCAGAUGUAUUUGCUAGAAUUUCUGGAUGCCUUUGUAGAGCUUUCAUUAUACAUAUCUACUUCCAUGUGAUGCGUGUUAGCCUAUUGUAUGAUAAGUGAGACAGGGCCUGCUAUUCAUAAGGUAAUUAUUUAUCUUUUCCAUUUAUUCACUCACUCAUUUAAUGUCCUUUUUAAAAAAUAAAAUGUCCUUUUGUAAAUUCUAUUUUUUAAAAGCCUGUCUAAA